UAACCGUGACAGGCUAGUGGUCCUUGAGUUUGAGGAUCAUCUGUCUGUGACUCCCAUCUCUCCUAUAGGAGUGCUGGAAUUAUGGAUUCUGACAUUUCAUAUUCAACAUUUAUGUGGGUACUGGGGAUGAAAUUCAGAUCCUUGUGCUUGUUUGUCAAAUUAUGUCACAUACUAAACCAACUCUGUAGCCCAGGCUAAUGAUGGUAGUCAUUACUCACAGUUCUCAGCACACAGACUUUCCACACCAUCCUCUUCUGAUGCCCGUCUGUACUGUGCAGACUGCAUGUUUGCUGUUCCUUCUUUCCAAUGCUGCUUUUCUUCUGAUUGUGUAAUUGCUUGUAUAUUGUGGGACAUUGGGCUAUGCACAAAUGGCCUAGUCUCCAGUCGAGCUGAGAUGUUGGCCCCCAGAACCCGCUGGUAAUAAUUUACCUACAUGGGACGGAAGGAGCUCUCUCAUGUCUCCUGGAACUCUGGCUCCUGUCUAAGUUACUGCCCCCUUCGGCCCCCACAAAAGAAGCAUAGCUAUAAGUCACAUAGGCAAUGUCCCAAGCUUCUGACCUUCAGGCUUAAAUCCUCCCCAGCUACCUAGCAAGAUAGCAGCAUAUCAUAAAAGGGGUUGUUUGGCCCCUCCUAGCUCUCUCUCACUCCUCUUGCUCCCUUGCUCUUACCUCUCUCUCCUCUCCUCUCUUUGUUCUCUCUUCCUCUCUCUCCCUCUUACUCUCUGGCCUUUCUUCUCUCUCUCCUUUUCCCCUUUGUCUCCUCUUGGCCAUGACUGAUCUCUCUCUCUCUCUCACUCUCUAUUCUACCUUCUCGCUUUCCCCCUGCCUUUCUACAAUAAAGCUCUAAAGCCAUAGACUGUCUCUGUUCAGCUGCGCAGACUCUCGCCUGUGUGGGAACCUCUCUUCCCUCAGCCCUCUCUCCCAUAAUCCUAGGCUAAAGGGUGUAACCCUGGGGCCCCUUUUGGUUUUAUGGGGAAGCCCCUUGUCCAUCCCCUGUCGAGUGGGUCAGAGGCUUGGAUGCCCACCAGGGGCUGAGUGGAAAGCGUCUGGCAGCCCUCCCGUGUCUGCCUGUCCAGAGGAUAGGUGGAACUCUGGGCUAUUUUCCCUCCCCCAUUCCCCUCACCCCCUUUUAGUUCCCACAGUAUACUGGACUCAGCAUGUCAUGGUUUUCCUGACUAAUAUGAUCUCAGUGUUUCCCCCAUUUCUACUGCUGUGCAUUCUCUCUCACCUCAUUUUAUUCAUUAUCAUCAGAUAUAGUAUAUAUAAGAUAUAUCUUUGUUUCUCUUUCCUAUUGUUUCUCAUCUUUAUGAGAACAAAACUUUUGUAGACUGUUCGCUGUUUGCUGUGCUUAUAAUUAUUUCUUGAUUACUAUCCAUACUACUACUAAUAAUAAUGAAUAAAUUUUGUGGUUUCUAUAUGGAAGUUGACCUGUAGUUUGCCUGGGUGCUGUCUGUUUGAGGAUCAUCUUAUAUAAUUACCACUAUAACUCAGGUUACUAUUAUCUGUUUAGUGGGGAGUAAAGAUGCAUGAAUUGUUAGUAUAUACAAGUCAUGAGCCAGUGACGGACAGAAACAUGUGCCAUUCUUUGCUCUGUUACUGUCCCCUCUGUGAUGGCCAAUAAUGCUAAAUAGACAUUCAAAAUGUUAAUUUUAUCGCAUUUAGAUUUCAUCUCUUUUACCAUUACCACUGUCAUUGUGUUGGUAAAAUUGCAAAAGAAAAUUAUGGUAAUUUAGAUAAUGGUAAGUAUUUUAAAUUUUGUAUUAUUCCCCAUCGAAUAAAACUCAAUUGAUACAAUAAGUAUAUUAGAAAAAAUAGCCAUGAUGCAACCUAGUGUCUGGCUUUAAUACUUGAUCUUGUCACAUUAUAAACAUAGUGUUCCCCUUGGGACAGAUUAAGCCAUUUCUUUCAUAGGUAAGAUCAUUAACUUGCUUUAGUUAAUGGAAUAACUAUUGACUACUUAUUUGAACAUAGUGAAAUCAGUUUGAGUAUUAGCCAGUUUUCUAAAAUGUACAUCCCAUAUUCUGUAUGAUCUACAUGGUUAAGUCAAAACCAUUUAUUCUGGAUUCAGGGGAUUUUCUGCCUUUAAUGAGCCCAAUGACCUUAACUCUCUAUGGGUUAGGAGGAACCCCCACUUACCUUUUGUUUGCGUUUGAUACUGAUGCUUUGCUAAAAUUGCCACACUGGCAUCUUACAAUGUUUUUAAGUGCUUUCUGUCUAAACAUAUACAUCUUUAACUUAAAGGUGUGGAAUAUUAUAUUUUAAUUUUUAAAGAGAAAAGAAUUUCUUUUAAUUUAUAGGAAAUAUAUAUUUUCAGUCCCAAAUAUUAAACAGAUGGGAUUACUUGAAAAAAAUCUGUAUUGCAAUUAAGGAUUUAGUAAACAGUCUACAGAAUG
rnacentral:lncRNA from 1 species